CCGAAAAUCCAAUUUAUUUUCCGAUGACAUUUUUGAAUGAUUUCGUGGUCAUGGGUGAUUGUACGAAGCUUGGAGAAGUGUGAAUUUUGUUCGAUCGAUUUUAAUUCGAAAUCGUACGUAUUUAAGGGCGUCUCAAAUAUCGACUUUUUAUGCGUACAUAAUUUGGGAAAACUUCCUUUAUGAAAGUUGUAGAGCUCGUCAAUACGAUCUCGUGCAUAUGUGGAAUGCAAUUUUCUGAGCUCGUAAGAUUAAGUUUUGAUUAAUCGAAAAUUAGGAUUCUUUUUUUAUUAAGAAUCUUUUUUUCUUUUCUCUCUUUCUUUAUUCUUUCUUUUCUUCCUUCCUACCCUUUUUCUAUUCUUUUUCUUCCCUCUGUUGUUGUUGGUGAUGUUGUGUGUGGUGAUGCCGGUCAAAAAGCAAGGCCAACAUGGGUCUGCCUUUAUUAAAAGAAAGUAGGAAUCAUGGUGCAUCAUUCCCUCUUGUCGUCCACUUCCAAUUCACUUUCUAUUCCCACUCCCACUCUCUCUUCCGUCUUUGUCUUCUUCAGUUUGUCAUCAAGGCAUCUAACAUUGCCUCUCUUAUUCGGUCAAGACCAGUCUUGCUCACUGAAGAACUCAUCUUGGCUGCACACCAGUUGCCAACCAAUUAAUGCCGUGGCUGCCCAAGAGGCUCAAUCCUCAGCCUCAGGUGAUAGGCAGGCUCUGAUAUCUUUGUCAGACAAAAACAAUCUUGCUUUCUUAGGGAAUGAGCUUCAGAACUUGGGAUAUAAAAUUGUUUCCACUGGAGGAAACUGCUAUAGCCUCCUUGGUUCAUCCAUUCUAACAACCCCAGAAUUGAAGAAAAACUAGAGCAGCUGCAGCAGCCUUGGACCCAAAAGCUGAGAGUUGAACCCGGUGCUUGAAACUGGUAUAUCCAAAGCUCAGUCGCACUGAGAUCGUCACAAUCCUCGUCAAGGCUCAGACAAUCACUAUUUUGGAGCAGGAUCUUCUCAACCCGAACCCGGAUCCUCACCACUUUCGACUUCCUCCAGAGGAAGAUGAAAGAUCAUUAUCAAUCAUCAUGGCUCUGCUUUGCACCUUCUGGAUGGUCACAGCUACCUCAGGGCUUUUUGGUUCGAGGAGAUUAUUGGGGAGGAAGUGAAGGUCAAGUUCUUGGCCAAGUACGUGAAGACUGAGACGCAGGUGGAAGAACACGAUCCGGUUACCGGAGCGUGGCGUUUCAUGAACUGGGGCAGGAGGCUGUUGUGCUUGUGGGAAGGUGGCGACCCGUAUGAGAUUGAACCGGAGAUUUUGACUACUGUCUGGAAGGUCAAGCUGUGGAGGCCAUUAAAGAGAAGGAAUUGGCGGGGAUGAAGAACAUGACUAGGCAGGAAUUUGUUGCUUCCCUUAGAAGGAUCGGAACUUGAAGGUGGAGAAUGUGACCAUGUGGAUCACCGAGCUCGGUCACCACUAUUUUUCAGGCCACUCAUUUUGGGUGUUUGACGGUUUGAUUUGGCGGACGAAUUGUGAUUCUUAUUCGAGUUAUAAGAAGACGCAGCGGGAUUAGAGCGGGAAAUCUUACAGGUCAGGAGAAUCGAGAAGGUGAUCAGGCUGCUUAGAGUAGUGGCAUUCGAGUUACAGCAUUAUUGUGAGUUUCGUUAUGUUCAUUUUGAACUUAUCAAUUUGGAAAUUGUGAUAGUGUGCUGUAAUAAGAAAUUGAGGAGUUGGGUAUUGUAAUGUUGAGUGGUGGGAGGCAUUUUACUCUGAAAGAAAAAUUUAGAUUUGUAUCUGUAUUUAUUCAUGUUUCGGAUUUGAAUUUCUUAUUCAAAAUUUGGGGCGUGACAGUUUGGUAUCAGAGCGUAAGGUGCAUAUUUGGUGACGUGUCAAUACCUUCCGAGUGAUGGCCCGUCUGCAGCGGAUCCCCAUCGUGUGCUCUUCGGUAUUGACUAAGUCAUUGGGUAUGCGUGAGUGUUAGGCGUUGUUUAGGCCGCUAGGUCGUUUUAGGAACGUGAAUACCUUCCCUGUAGUGUUGACUUGGUUAAUAUGGACUUGUAUUUGACUUAUACGGUGUUUUAAGUGUUAUACAUGUAUUAGCCAAGCAUACUAUGCUUCUUAGGUGAUGGAUAUUCGAAGGAGUAGUACUUAGGAUCAUAAGUUGUCAUGGAGGUUCGUAUUAGAAUAAGUUUAGCUUCCGCAGGUUGUAAUUUUCGAGGAAUAGAAACCUCUAGAUUUUACUCUGAUGAGUCAGCGAGAAUUGUUUUAUGGAUGUGAGGUUUCUUUGGAUGUUGAAGUGUUUGGUUGAAGGCAUGAUGUUGAUCUAUGCACGUGUCUAGUGUGGAUACGAGUAUAAAUUGAUAGAACUUUGCCUUCUUAAGAUGGACGUACAGAUAUUUGGAUGGGAUGUACGUAUUAAGGAUUAGAUAUCCUGUUUGAUAAUGAGAUGUCUUAGUGAAAUUUUGGUGAUUGACAUGAGGUACGUGUUUAAUGUGACUCUGAGGAAAUUAUGCUGACUUUGGGUGAGAUUGAAUUCUUAGUGUAGCCUAAGAAGGUUGUGUGGUGAUUUUAUAUACACUACGUGAUGAACUUUUAGAAUGAAAAGUUAUGAGUAAAAGUAUGGGUUUUUCCCUUAUGUCUAUAGUAGACUUAUGCAUAUGGCAGCCUUUGUGGCAGUACCAGUAGUGUUUUUGUAACAGUUUUUAUGGCAGUGCUUGUAGUGCUUUAGUGGUAGUUUGUGUGACGUGACCAUUUGUUGGAAUUUAUUUUGGUUAGAGUGUUAAUCAGUGAAUGAGAUUCUUGACUCAUGUGGAGUUUGUGAGUAGGGUUGUGGUUAGGGAAGAAAUUAUUGUGGUUAAUUCUUCCUUGUGCUUUUAAGUUGUUAAGCAGGGCUUAAGGUGCGAGACCAGAGUUUUAUUUUGUACUCGAUGGUUAGAGUUGAGCGACCAUUGUUUGGGCUGUCGCUGAGUACUAUAAUUUCUUCAGAAUCAGGAUUGUUGUUAGAAUUGGAACUAGUAGUAGUAUUAGUGAUUCGGAAACUGAAUCGAGUUGCGGGAUGUGCCUUAUAUAUGUAGUUGAUGUUGCGAGCAUCAUUUUGGAACUAUACUUUGCAAUACACAAAGACAACUGGAUUGGAAAUCCUCCGUUUGGAUACCUUGGUCUGUUGACCUGACUAUGACUUGUGGGCAUAUUUUUAUUUAAGUAUAGGGAAUUUAUUUUGUGAAUUAGUUUUCCUAAGUGUUGGAUCGUAGUAUGGAGAUAGACUGAAGUGAAUUUGAGGUUAUUUUGUGUUUUAGGUCUAAGUAAGGUUUUGCAAUGGAGUGGAUCUUGGUCAGUAAUUAAUGGAGAGAUUUAGAAUCUACUCUCUGUAAAUGACAUUAGACGAGAGUGUGUUUCUGUGGUUAUGGCUGAUAGGUGAAUUUGGUUAAAUGCAAUUUUGGGUAUUGGUUUUGGUGACAUGGUUGGGUGUCCAUAGUGUUUCAAGUGAAUUACUACGUGAUAUUGAGUUGAUUUGGAUUCUGAUUAUUGAGACUAUAGGGUUUGAAUUGUGGUAAAUUGAUGGAGCAGUUAAUUGAGGAAAUGAUUGAGAUGUUAUGAGAUUAGUACGGGUAACUCUAAGAAUGGGAGUUUUUCUAGUUAACUCAGGAAGUGUUUAACUUUAUUAGCUCCUAAUUCUAGCGAUGGAAUUGUUUGUGUUCGGUUUGACUCUGAGGAUGAUAGCUAGACCACUAAGUGACUUAUUUGAUUUUUGAAUUUUAAAAUGAUUGUUUGUGUUGCAUUAUUAUGAAUGAGGUGUGCAGCAUGGUUGACAAAGGUUUUGAACGAGCAAGGAUUGACCAAGGUUCGAUCCUUGGUGUUGUUGUUGAUUGUUUAAAGAAGAAACGACAUGCAUCCAAUCUUAUUGAUUUCACUAUUUUACAAAAUAAACAAACAGGGAAACUAUACUAUUCUAAGCUAGAUCAGUGGCUCCGGAUGGGUUGAGGCUGAGCUCAAGAGAAACAGGAGAGCCACUGUUGUAACCGCCUGAGACACCGGAAUAGUAACCAAAUGAGCUACCGCCCUCGGAUGUAGUCUUCGGAUUACCAAUGAUGUUUUCACCGUGCUCAGGGAACAGAGGAAGAGUCUCGACCUCCUGGUGAUCUCCUCCUCGUUGUUCCAUGAAUGAUCGUAACCCAAGGGUUAGAUCGAUCGAUCCAUCAUCACCAGUGGAAUCUGUGGAACCGAAGUUGAGAUCGAUGGAUCUGCCACCAUCAGUAGAACUUGUGGAUCCAAAAUUUAGAUCGAGAGAUCCACCAACCCGAACUUUCCGAAAUUCCUUCAACUUCUGCCUGUCACGAGCCUUGAGGUUCUGGAACCAAAAGAAGACGUUCUUGUCCUCGAUCUGCCCAUACGGUUUCAGAUGAAGGCAGAUCUCUUGAAUCUGCUCUGGAGUUGGGUUCUUGUGACCCUUGUCGUAGUAGAGCCCCUGAAGGAUUCUUAGUUGAGCUGGUGUAGGAGUCCACCGGAUAGUCGUCGGCCUGAUAGGUGUGUUGGCACUACUUCCGGCUACUUGGUUGCUUCCUCCCUCCUCGGUGAGUUGCUGGGCUUGUAGUUCCGUCUGUUGUUGGGUUUGAAGCUCCAUCAGUUGCAGAGUUCGUGGUUCCAUGGUGAUGGGUUGAGGGGAUGUGAAGAUCGAAGAGUAAGUUGUCGAGUGUUUGAGGGAGUUGUUGUUAAAAGGAUUAAGGAUGAUGAUGGUGUGUUGGAGAUCUGAAAGUUCAGAGGAAAGAUGGGAUUGAAUCAACUAGAUGGGAGAGAAGAUCAGAAGAGAAGGAUUGAAAUCGAAAGAGAAAGGAUUUGAGUUUUGAAAGAUAGGCUGAAAAGUUUGAGAGAGAAGGGCUGGAAUCAGGAGAGAUUUUUCUUUCCUUCGUAGUAAACAGUUGCGCCCUCAGAAUGCACCUAUUUAUAGAACGAGGCGAGCAGAUCUCCACCGUUGGAUGGACGAUCUCAGAGAUUCAAUCUACGCGUUGGAUUAAAAGUUGCCCGAAAACGCGGAAAGGCUGUUGGCGCGUGGAGAGCGUGUAAGGGGACCGAGGGAAUCUCGAGGCGCUGUGGCAGACAACUUUAGCCGAAAGCAGAAAUUGACUGCCGUGAAUCACGGAAGGGAUAAGCCGUGACACAAGUGGGCCGUACUUGGGCCUGUCUCGGAUCAAGGCCAUCACUGUAGCUGUGGGUGGAGGCCUGAUGGGCCAAGUUUCUGAAAACAGUUUGGUCACUGUAGCUGUGGGUGGAGGCCCUAUGGGCCGAGUUUCAGAAACAGUUUUGGACGAGUUGGGCUGGGUUUCUGAAACAGUUGUGGAUGUGUUGGGCCAAGUUUCUGAAACAGUUGUGGAUGUGUUGGGCCGAGUUUCUGAAACAGUUGUGUUGGGCCGAGUUUCUGAAACAGUUGGGGAUACGUUGGGCUGGGUUUUCUGCAACAGUUUUGGGUGUUUUGGGCCGAAUUGUUGAAACAGUUGAAACAGUUGGUUUAAAUAAAAGGAUUGGUAUGGAUAGUAACGUGAGCAGCUUGUGCUCCAGUGGUUGGGGGCAAAGCUUUUGUGCAACAGGUCAAGGGUUCGAAAACUUGCAUCCCCUUGUAUUUAUUUUUAUGUUGCUUUUGACAUAAUAAAUAUAACUCGUGGGUUUAUGUUAUUGAAAGCAGCUCUUGCUUCAGUGGUGGGGAGCAAAACCUUGGUGUAGGAGGUCUGGAGUUCGAGCCUUACCUCUUGCAUUAUUUUUGAAAUCGUAUAUACACUCUGUAUAUAUACGUAUUUUUAUACGUCAAGUCAUAUCCCUCGUGUAUACGCACUGUAUACAGACGUAUUUUUAUACGUCGAACAGUAUCCUUGUAGUUUUCUACAGUUUAUUCUGUAUAAGCUACAGAAUACCUUAAUCGGGAGAAAUGGGCUCGCGAUUAAAUUUCGGGACGAAAUUUCUUUAAGGAGGGUAGAUUGUAAUACCCCGAAAAUCCAAUUUAUUUUCCGAUGACAUUUUUGAAUGAUUUCGUGGUCAUGGGUGAUUGUACGAAGCUUGGAGAAGUGUGAAUUUUGUUCGAUCGAUUUUAAUUCGAAAUCGUACGUAUUUAAGGGCGUCUCAAAUAUCGACUUUUUAUGCGUACAUAAUUUGGGAAAACUUCCUUUAUGAAAGUUGUAGAGCUCGUCAAUACGAUCUCGUGCAUAUGUGGAAUGCAAUUUUCUGAGCUCGUAAGAUUAAGUUUUGAUUAAUCGAAAAUUAGGAUUCUUUUUUUAUUAAGAAUCUUUUUUUCUUUUCUCUCUUUCUUUAUUCUUUCUUUUCUUCCUUCCUACCCUUUUUCUAUUCUUUUUCUUCCCUCUGUUGUUGUUGGUGAUGUUGUGUGUGGUGAUGCCGGUCAAAAAGCAAGGCCAACAUGGGUCUGCCUUUAUUAAAAGAAAGUAGGAAUCAUGGUGCAUCAUUCCCUCUUGUCGUCCACUUCCAAUUCACUUUCUAUUCCCACUCCCACUCUCUCUUCCGUCUUUGUCUUCUUCAGUUUGUCAUCAAGGCAUCUAACAUUGCCUCUCUUAUUCGGUCAAGACCAGUCUUGCUCACUGAAGAACUCAUCUUGGCUGCACACCAGUUGCCAACCAAUUAAUGCCGUGGCUGCCCAAGAGGCUCAAUCCUCAGCCUCAGGUGAUAGGCAGGCUCUGAUAUCUUUGUCAGACAAAAACAAUCUUGCUUUCUUAGGGAAUGAGCUUCAGAACUUGGGAUAUAAAAUUGUUUCCACUGGAGGAAACUGCUAUAGCCUCCUUGGUUCAUCCAUUCUAACAACCCCAGAAUUGAAGAAAAACUAGAGCAGCUGCAGCAGCCUUGGACCCAAAAGCUGAGAGUUGAACCCGGUGCUUGAAACUGGUAUAUCCAAAGCUCAGUCGCACUGAGAUCGUCACAAUCCUCGUCAAGGCUCAGACAAUCACUAUUUUGGAGCAGGAUCUUCUCAACCCGAACCCGGAUCCUCACCACUUUCGACUUCCUCCCAGAGGAAGAUGAAAGAUCAUUAUCAAUCAUCAUGGCUCUGCUUUGCACCUUCUGGAUGGUCACAGCUACCUCAGGGCUUUUUGGUUCGAGGAGAUUAUUGGGGAGGAAGUGAAGGUCAAGUUCUUGGCCAAGUACGUGAAGACUGAGACGCAGGUGGAAGAACACGAUCCGGUUACCGGAGCGUGGCGUUUCAUGAACUGGGGCAGGAGGCUGUUGUGCUUGUGGGAAGGUGGCGACCCGUAUGAGAUUGAACCGGAGAUUUUGACUACUGUCUGGAAGGUCAAGCUGUGGAGGCCAUUAAAGAGAAGGAAUUGGCGGGGAUGAAGAACAUGACUAGGCAGGAAUUUGUUGCUUCCCUUAGAAGGAUCGGAACUUGAAGGUGGAGAAUGUGACCAUGUGGAUCACCGAGCUCGGUCACCACUAUUUUUCAGGCCACUCAUUUUGGGUGUUUGACGGUUUGAUUUGGCGGACGAAUUGUGAUUCUUAUUCGAGUUAUAAGAAGACGCAGCGGGAUUAGAGCGGGAAAUCUUACAGGUCAGGAGAAUCGAGAAGGUGAUCAGGCUGCUUAGAGUAGUGGCAUUCGAGUUACAGCAUUAUUGUGAGUUUCGUUAUGUUCAUUUUGAACUUAUCAAUUUGGAAAUUGUGAUAGUGUGCUGUAAUAAGAAAUUGAGGAGUUGGGUAUUGUAAUGUUGAGUGGUGGGAGGCAUUUUACUCUGAAAGAAAAAUUUAGAUUUGUAUCUGUAUUUAUUCAUGUUUCGGAUUUGAAUUUCUUAUUCAAAAUUUGGGGCGUGACAAUAACAUAUGUAAGAGCUCUUUAAAUUAUAUUUAAUUGAAUAAUACGGAUGUGUUGAGAAUA